rnacentral:rRNA from 1 species
ACAUGCGAGUCGAACGCACAGCGUAAAGUUGCUUGCACCUUUCAAGUGAGUGGCGAACGGGUGAGUAACACGUGGACAACCUGCCUCAAGGCUGGGGAUAACAUUUGGAAACAGAUGCUAAUACCGAAUAAAACUCAGUGUCGCAUGACACAAAGUUAAAAGGCGCUUUGGCGUCACCUAGAGAUGGAUCCGCGGUGCAUUAGUUAGUUGGUGGGGUAAAGGCCUACCAAGACAAUGAUGCAUAGCCGAGUUGAGAGACUGAUCGGCCACAUUGGGACUGAGACACGGCCCAAACUCCUACGGGAGGCUGCAGUAGGGAAUCUUCCACAAUGGGCGAAAGCCUGAUGGAGCAACGCCGCGUGUGUGAUGAAGGCUUUCGGGUCGUAAAGCACUGUUGUAUGGGAAGAACAGCUAGAAUAGGGAAUGAUUUUAGUUUGACGGUACCAUACCAGAAAGGGACGGCUAAAUACGUGCCAGCAGCCGCGGUAAUACGUAUGUCCCGAGCGUUAUCCGGAUUUAUUGGGCGUAAAGCGAGCGCAGACGGUUGAUUAAGUCUGAUGUGAAAGCCCGGAGCUCAACUCCGGAAUGGCAUUGGAAACUGGUUAACUUGAGUGCAGUAGAGGUAAGUGGAACUCCAUGUGUAGCGGUGGAAUGCGUAGAUAUAUGGAAGAACACCAGUGGCGAAGGCGGCUUACUGGACUGUAACUGACGUUGAGGCUCGAAAGUGUGGGUAGCAAACAGGAUUAGAUACCCUGGUAGUCCACACCGUAAACGAUGAACACUANGUGUUAGGAGGUUUCCGCCUCUUAGUGCCGAUGCUAACGCAUUAAGUGUUCCGCCUGGGGAGUACGACCGCAAGGUUGAAACUCAAGGAAUUGACGGGGACCCGCACAAGCGGUGGAGCAUGUGGUUUAAUUCGAAGCACGCGAGAA